UCAACUAUCACCCGGUUACGUAUUGGGCACUCUUGCACUCCAGUCCAUUUGGCCAAACUGAGAAUUAGAGAUCACUCUUUGUGCGAAUGCGGUUUGGAUGAAGGGUCACCCUCCCAUAUCCUCUUUUCCUGUCCAAGACUUGUAUAUAAACUUUAUGAUGUUCUCCCUCCUAAGAUCCCUCGUCCCCUAAGUGUUGAAUGUCUCUUAAUGUUUGUGUUUAGUCCCUAUGUAAAAUUUUUGUGUAAAUAUAUUAAGUCUAACAAAAUAAAAUUGUUAUUUACUAACAUCAUAACCCAUCUAGUCCAGUUACCUACCACAAAUCGGACUGGGAUUGUCCAGAAAAGACUUGGAUGUAAAUAAACCGUUCAACCUCCUUUGUGUUUUCUCCAAACAACGCGUCUUUGGCGAAGUGAAUUGUGCUGUGUGGCACAACAAAAAGCCACUAAAAUAAACAACAACAACAA